rnacentral:rRNA from 1 species
CCUACGGGUGGCAGCAGUGAGGAAUAUUGGUCAAUGGGCGGGAGCCUGAACCAGCCAAGUCGCGUGAGGGACGACGGUCCUAUGGAUUGUAAACCUCUUUUGUCGGGGAACAAAGGCGCCCACGGGUGGGCGGAUGAGGGUACCCGAAGAAAAAGCAUCGGCUAACUCCGUGCCAGCAGCCGGGGUAAUAAGGAGGAUGCGAGCGUUAUCCGGAUUUAUUGGGUUUAAGGGGUGCGUAGGCGGACAGUAACGUGAGCGGGAAAAGUGAGGUGCUCAAAGGCGUACAGCCGUUGAAACUGGCAGUCUUGAGUGGGCGAGAAGUAUGCGGAAUGCGGGGUGUAGCGGUGAAAUGCAUAGAUAGCGCGCAGAACUCCGAUUGCGAAGGCAGCAUACCGGCGCCCGACUGACGCUGAGGCACGAAAGCGUGGGUAGCGAACAGGAUUAGAUACCCCAGUAGUC